ACCCGUGUGGUAUGGUGGCGGUAUUGGAAACAACUGCAGCGCUCUUGCAGCGUAGGACACCUAAACUACACGGGUUU
rfam:Flavobacterium spartansii strain MST NODE_1_length_1308521_cov_54.5264, whole genome shotgun sequence.